UUAGAGUUUGAUCCUGGCUCAGGAUGAACGCUAGCGGUAGGCAUAACACAUGCAAGUCGAGGGGCAGCUGGUUUGGUAGCAAUACUGAAUGUCAGGCGACCGGCGGAUGGGUGAGUAACGCGUACGCAACCUACCUUGUACAGUGGGAUAGACACUGGAAACGGUGCGUAAUACCACGUAAUAAUAUAGAUAGGCAUCUGUUUAUAUGGGAAGGGUACGUAAGUAUUGGUAUAAGAUGGGCGUGCGUAGGAUUAGAUAGAUGGUGGGGUAACGGCUUACCAUGUCGACGAUCUUUAGGGGUUCUGAGAGGAAGGUCCCCCACAUUGCAACUGAGAACGGUGCAAACUCCUACGGGAGGCAGCAGUGAGGAAUAUUGGUCAAUGGGCGGAAGCUUGAACCAGCCAUACCGCGUGCAGGAAGGCGGCCUUAUGGGUUGUAAACUGCUUUUAUAAUGGGAUAGUGAUUAUAUCGUGCAUAUGAUAGGGAAGGUACAUUAUGAAUAAGUAUCGGCUAACUCCGUGCCAGCAGCCGCGGUAAUACGGAGGAUACGAGCGUUGUCCGGAUUUAUUGGGUUUAAAGGGUGCGUAGGCGGUUGAUUAGGUCUAUGGUGAAAUGGUUGUGCUCAACACAAUUUAGCUGUAGAAACCGGUCGGCUAGAAUAUAAGUGGCGUAGGCGGAAUAAAGCGUGUAGAGGUGACAUUCAUAGAUAUGCUUUAGAACACCGUUCGCGAAGGCGGCUUACGAAGGUAAAAUUGACGCUAAUGCACGAGAGCGUGGGUAUCGAACAGAAUUAGAUACUCUGGUAGUCCACGCUGUAAACGAUGAUAACUAUAUGUCGGCGAUAAGAAUGUCGGUGUAGAAGUGAAAGCGAUAAGUUAUCCACCUGGGGAGUACGAUCGCAAGGUUGAAACUCAAAGGAAUUGACGGGGGCCCGCACAAGCGGAGGAGCAUGUGGUUUAAUUCGAUGAUACGCGAGGAACCUUACCCGGGCUUGAACUGCCAGCGGACGAUACAGAGAUGUUGAGGCCCUUCGGGGCGCUGGCGGAGGUGCUGCAUGGUUGUCGUCAGCUCGUGCCGUGAGGUGUCGGCUUAAGUGCCAUAACGAGCGCAACCCCUCUCCGUAGUUGCCAUCAGGUGAUGCUGGGCACUCUGCGGACACUGCCACCGCAAGGUGUGAGGAAGGUGGGGACGACGUCAAAUCAGCACGGCCUUUACGUCCGGGGCUACACACGUGUUACAAUGGGGGGUACAGAGCGCCGGCUUGCCGCAAGGAGAGUCCAAUCGCGAAAACCUCCCUCAGUUCGGACUGGGGUCUGCAACCCGACCCCACGAAGCUGGAUUCGCUAGUAAUCGCGCAUCAGCCAUGGCGCGGUGAAUACGUUCCCGGGCCUUGUACACACCGCCCGUCA
rnacentral:rRNA from 1 species